rnacentral:misc_RNA from 1 species
AAGAGCGAAGUACUCAAACUGACUGGGUUCCCAACUACAAGAUUAGAGUUUGGGUAAACAUCGAUAAACCUCUUAUUACGUCAUUUCGCCAUUCCAGAGAAGGCAGCAGAAAAGAUUGGGUCAAGAUAAGAUAUGAAAGGCUUCCUACUACUAUUGUGGCAGAAUUGGGCAUAUUAUUAGAAGUUGUUUAGAGAAGGCGAUGAAUCCAUCUAGAGAGGAGGAUGCAGAGAUCCCCUUGAGGUAUGGAGCAUGGUUACAACCAGCAAAUUGGCAACGGAUGGAGUCAUCAACUCUUCCUAUUAUGGAUUCUAAUUUGGGUCAUCAGAGUUCUACUGUAGUUGGCGAGGGAUCCAGUAGAAUGAGUCAACUCAGUGUUCCACCAUCUCUUGCCCUACCUCCAAUUUCGAGAUCUCCUUGCUAAUUUCAAAGCUCAGCUGCCCAAAGUAUAGACCUAGGGAUUUUUUAAGAUCUCUCUACCUCAGAUACAGGGAAAGGGCAGAAGCUCGACGUAACUUCUAAUCAGCAAAAAAAGAAACAAAUCAGUCUUUCACCUUCCCAAGAGAUAAACCUUCUUAAUAUAUCUUAGAAAGCUGAUAUGCUUCUAUGUUGAAAAGAGGGCCAAAAUCCAUCUUCAGAGAUUUCAAGAAAUCGAUGAUCA